AGGUUUUGUGAAGGUUUUGUGAAGGUUUUGUGAAGAUAUUGUCAAGGUUUUGUGAAGAUUGCUGUGAAGAUAUUGUGAAUACCUUUGCGAAAAUGUGUGUGAAUAUUUAUACUGCAAGAAUCUUACUGCCUAUCCAUCAAGUCUUCACCACCAAGUCUGAACUUAGUCUCAGAGAUUCCCAUGCAUGCCUGUCCCCAUCAAGUCUUCACCACCAAGUCUGGCAGAUUCCCACGCAUGCCUUACACGUGUCACACCCU
rnacentral:lncRNA from 1 species